CCCUCACCACAGACUCGCUCCAGCUCGUCCGUGUGAUCGCUGCAGUCGCUGAAGCCGUCGCACUUCCAGCUGGCGCUGAUGCAGGUGCCGUCGAGACAAGUGAACUGCUCGGGUUGGCAGCGCUUCCCGUCGUCUUGGAUGCAGUCCUUGCCGUUGUUGGCCAGUGUAUGCUUCAACAAGCUCGACGGAAAAGAACCUCCCACCUUUGGUGCAGGUACGUUUAUCAUUAUUCAACGUCCAUCCGGAUUGGCAGUGGCAGGUGUAAAAAUUUGGCCUGAAGCCCGACAGCAGGCACAGUUGACUGCACAUCUUGUCUUUGCAUGGGUUGAGACCUGCACACAAAACCACCGUUUGACCUUCGCUCCAACUGGGACCGGAUACUAAUCAGAAAAUGGGUCACCUGCAGGCUGUUUAAUGGGAUGGUCCAGAACGAGGCCCAUGGGCUGAUAGACGCUGUUCAUCAGUGUGGUGACGUUGCCGCCGUGGAACUUGUUGGUGCUCAUCACUUUGCUGCUGAAGCGCUCCGACCAGAAGACGUUGUCCUCAAAGAUAGUCAUGCCGUGCGGGUGCUGGAGAACCUGGAGCCCAAGGACUUGGUUGCUAACGUUAUCCCGAUUCUGACCUGGCUACAAUUUGAUUAGAAUUCAACGUACCAUGUCGCUGGCCAUAACUUGAUAGCGGUUCUUUCCAUCAUAGUCACAGUAGUCGAUGUAUUUCAGGUAAGCGUCGGCGAAGUAGACCCUGCGCGUGGUGUAGUCCAGCGCCAAGGCAUUGGGCCAGUAAAUCUUCGUACUGACAAUGGUCCGUCUCAUUGCUCCAUCCAUGUCGGCCCGCUCGAUCCUCGGAUUCUGACCCCAAUCCGACCAGAACAUCAGCACUUUCCGGAAGCGACCAUCCAGAGUGGACACCUCAAUGUUCUCCAUGACCGAGUCGGUCCAGUAGAGGUUUCUGCCCACCCAGUCCACCGCGAUGCUCUCCGGCACUAUCAGACCACUGGAGAAAAUCUGCAGCAACAAAGGCACCAACUUUGACGGAUCCGAAAGACACGUCUUCUCUUU